rnacentral:rRNA from 1 species
GACGAACGCUGGCGGCGUGCUUAACACAUGCAAGUCGAACGAGAGGACAAGAGAAGCUUGCUUCUUUUGGAAUCGAGUGGCAAACGGGUGAGUAACACGUAAACAACCUGCCUUCAGGAUGGGGGACAACAGACGGAAACGACUGCUAAUACCGAAUACGCUUGGAAGACCGCAUGAUUUUCCAAGGAAAGGGUGGCCUCUACCUGUAAGCUAUCGCCUGAAGAGGGGUUUGCGUCUGAUUAGGCAGUUGGUGAGGUAACGGCCCACCAAACCUACGAUCAGUAGCCGGUCUGAGAGGAUGAACGGCCACACUGGAACUGAGACACGGUCCAGACUCCUACGGGAGGCAGCAGUGGGGAAUCUUCCGCAAUGGGCGAAACUCUGACCCAGCAACGCCGCGUGGAGGAAGAAGGUUUUCGGAUCGUAAACUCCUGUCCUUGGAGACGAGUAGAAGACGGUAUCCAAGGAGGAAGCCCCGGCUAACUACGUAG